UUCUUUUGCUAGGGGAGAAUAAGUGUGGGAGGGAAUGCCUGCACGAUGACAAGGACUAGCGAAUAAGUCCCGGCCAACUACGUGCCAGCAGCCGC
rnacentral:rRNA from 1 species